UUACCAAAAUAAGCUAUUUGUACAUGAUAUUUAGUUAUCUGGUGAUAUUUAGUUGAUAACGCCAUCAGUUGAAUUUACCGUGAGGCAUGUGUAAGUAGCCUACUGAAGUGGACAGAGCCCCAAAACAGUGCAGGGAAGAAAACUUUAGUCCAAGAUGUGGAUUCCAGCAAAUGUAAAACAAAGCACUUGCACAUUUUUAUGUUUUUGUUCAGAACAGCAGUGUUUACAAAAAUAUGAAUUUAUUUAUUUA